UCGUGCGCGAAAGUCUUCGGACGAGUAAAGCGGCGGACGGGUGAGUAACACGCUAAUCAACCUACCCCUGAGACCGGAAUAACCACUGGAAACGGUGGGUAAUGCCGGAUGGCCCGCGGAGGUGGCAUCACCACUGCGGUAAAUGGCUUCGGCUGCUCGGGGAGGGGAUUGCGGGCUAUUAGCUAGUUGGCGAGGUAACGGCUCACCAAGGCUAUGAUGGCUAACAGGUCUGAGAGGACGACCUGUCACACUGGGACUGAGACACUGCCCAGACUCUUACGGGAGGCUGCAGUCGAGAAUCUUCCGCAAUGGGCGAAAGCCUGACGGAGCGACACCGCGUGCAGGAUGAAGGCCCUUGGGUCGUAAACUGCUGUCACGCUAUAGGAAUCAUGACUAAAGCGAGAGGAAGCACCGGCUAACUCCGUGCCAGCAGCCGCGGUAAGACGGAGGGUGCAAACGUUGCUCGGAAUCACUGGGCAUAAAGCGCACGUAGGCGGUUUGUUAAGUCGGAUGUGAAAUCCCUGGGCUCAACCCAGGAACUGCAUCCGAUACUGGCUAACUCGAGGACGGUUGGGGUGAGUGGAACUCCAGGUGGAGCGGUGAAAUGCAUAGAUAUCUGGAGGAACACCGGUGGCGAAAGCGACUCACUGGACCG
rnacentral:rRNA from 1 species